UACAGAGGUCCCAAGCGUUGUUCGGAUUCAUUGGGCGUAAAGGGUGCGUAGGCGGCGCGGCAAGUCGGGUGUGAAAUCUCGGAGCUUAACUCCGAAACUGCAUUCGAUACUGCCGUGCUCGAGGACUGGAGAGGAGACUGGAAUUCAUGGUGUAGCAGUGAAAUGCGUAGAGAUCAUGAGGAAGACCAGUGGCGAAGGCGGGUCUCUGGACAGUUCCUGACACUGAGGCACGAAGGCCAGGGGAGCAAACGGG
rnacentral:rRNA from 1 species